GGUAUGGGGUGCAGCAGUAGGGAAUCUUCCGCAAUGGACGAAAGUCUGACGGAGCAACGCCGCGUGAGUGAUGAAGGUUUUCGGAUCGUAAAGCUCUGUUGUUAGGGAAGAACAAGUACCGUUCGAAUAGGGCGGUACCUUGACGGUACCUAACCAGAAAGCCACGGCUAACUACGUGCCAGCAGCCGCGGUAAUACGUAGGUGGCAAGCGUUGUCCGGAAUUAUUGGGCGUAAAGGGCUCGCAGGCGGUUUCUUAAGUCUGAUGUGAAAGCCCCCGGCUCAACCGGGGAGGGUCAUUGGA
rnacentral:rRNA from 1 species